GAUGAACGCUGGCGGCGUGCCUAAUACAUGCCAGUUGAGCGAACAGACGAGGAGCUUGCUCCUCUGACGUUAGCGGCGGACGGGUGAGUAACACGUGGAUAACCUACCUAUAAGACUGGGAUAACUUCGGGAAACCGGAGCUAAUACCGGAUAAUAUAUUGAACCGCAUGGUUCAAUAGUGAAAGACGGUUUUGCUGUCACUUAUAGAUGGAUCCGCGCCGCAUUAGCUAGUUGGUAAGGUAACGGCUUACCAAGGCAACGAUGCGUAGCCGACCUGAGAGGGUGAUCGGCCACACUGGAACUGAGACACGGUCCAGACUCCUACGGGAGGCAGCAGUAGGGAAUCUUCCGCAAUGGGCGAAAGCCUGACGGAGCAACGCCGCGUGAGUGAUGAAGGUCUUCGGAUCGUAAAACUCUGUUAUUAGGGAAGAACAAAUGUGUAAGUAACUAUGCACGUCUUGACGGUACCUAAUCAGAAAGCCACGGCUAACUACGUG
rnacentral:rRNA from 1 species